rnacentral:tRNA from 1 species
CAAAAAGUAGUUUAAUAAAAACAAUAAUUUUGGGAAUUAUAAAUAUUUAUUUAAUAUUUUUUUUUGA